rnacentral:rRNA from 1 species
AGUGAACGCUGGCGGUAGGCCUAACACAUGCAAGUCGAACGGCAGCACAGUAAGAGCUUGCUCUUACGGGUGGCGAGUGGCGGACGGGUGAGGAAUACAUCGGAAUCUACUUUUUCGUGGGGGAUAACGUAGGGAAACUUACGCUAAUACCGCAUACGACCUACGGGUGAAAGCAGGGGAUCUUCGGACCUUGCGCGAUUGAAUGAGCCGAUGUCGGAUUAGCUAGUUGGCGGGGUAAAGGCCCACCAAGGCGACGAUCCGUAGCGGGUCUGAGAGGAUGGUCAGCCACACUGGAACUGAGACACGGUCCAGACUCCUACGGGAGGCAGCAGUGGGGAAUAUUGGACAAUGGGCGCAAGCCUGAUCCAGCCAUACCGCGUGGGUGAAGAAGGCCUUCAGGUUGUAAAGCCCUUUUGUUGGGAAAGAAAAGCAGCAGGUUAAUACCCCGCUGUUCUGACGGUACCCAAAGAAUAAGCACCGGCUAACUUCGUG